CCUCAAAGAUCUCGUCUCGUGAGACCUCUAUGCGACAGUGUCCAGCCUGUGGUUGCUGCAGCGACAGCUCGUGUCUGAGCAGCUUCAGUUUGUGGACCAGGUCUCUCUCGUAGCGCAGAGUCACUUCCUCUUCUCCUCCUCCUCCUCCUCCUCCUUCCUCCUCCUCCCCCACCUCCAUCUCUCUCCCUCCUCCCCCACCCAGCGGCUGAGACGCUUCCUUCACCUGGGAAUGUUGGCUGGAGACACACAGAAAGGUCUGAUGUGUUUUAUUUUACAUAUCUUUCAUACUGAAUGUUAUCAGAUAUUCAACCAAAACCUGAUAUUAGAUAAAGGGGGAAACCUGAGUAAUAUAAUUAUUUUAUUUAUUUAAUUAACUUUCUGCAAUUUUAUUUAUUUAAUUAAGUUAUGUAACACCAAAUUCCCAUUUUUAAAAAAGUAUUUCCCCGUUACACUCAAUAACUGGAUGAGUUAAAAUAAUGUUCUAUGGACAGGUGAGAUAAAAGAAUGUUCUAUGGACAGGUGAGUUAAAGGUAUGUACUAUAGACAGGUGAGUUAAAAUAAUGUUCUAUAGACAGGUGAGUUAAAAUAAUGUUCUAUAGACAGGUGAGAUAAAAUAAUGUUCUAUGGACAGGUGAGUUAAAGGAAUGUUCUAUGGACAGGUGAGUUAAAAUAAUGUUCUAUGGACAGGUGAGAUAAAGGUAUGUUCUAUGGACAGGUGAGAUAAAAGAAUGUUCUAUGGACAGGUGAGUUAAAGGUAUGUACUAUAGACAGGUGAGUUAAAAUAAUGUUCUAUAGACAGGUGAGUUAAAGGUAUGUUCUAUAGACAGGUGAGAUAAAGGUAUGUUCUAUAGACAGGUGAGUUAAAGGUAUGUUCUAUAGACAGGUGAGAUAAAGGUAUGUUCUAUGGACAGGUGAGAUAAAGGUAUGUUCUAUAGACAGGUGAGAUAAAGGUAUGUUCUAUGGACAGGUGAGAUAAAAUAAUGUUCUAUAGACAGGUGAGUUAAAGGUAUGUACUAUAGACAGGUGAGUUAAAGGUAUGUUCUAUAGACAGGUGAGAUAAAGGUAUGUUCUAUGGACAGGUGAGAUAAAAUAAUGUUCUAUAGACAGGUGAGUUAAAGGUAUGUACUAUAGACAGGUGAGUUAAAGGUAUGUACUAUAGACAGGUGAGUUAAAGGUAUGUUCUAUAGACAGGUGAGAUAAAGGUAUGUUCUAUAGACAGGUGAGAUAAAGGUAUGUUCUAUAGACAGGUGAGAUAAAGGAAUGUUCUAUAGACAGGUGAGUUAAAAUAAUGUUCUAUAGACAGGUGAGAUAAAGGUAUGUACUAUAGACAGGUGAGAUAAAGGAAUGUUCUAUGGACAGGUGAGAUAAAACAAUGUUCUAUGGACAGGUGAGAUAAAGGAAUGUUCUAUGGACAGGUGAGUUAAAGGUAUGUACUAUGGACAGGUGAGUUAAAGGUAUGUUCUAUAGACAGGUGAGUUAAAGGUAUGUACUAUAGACAGGUGAGAUAAAGGUAUGUUCUAUAGACAGGUGAGAUAAAGGAAUGUUCUAUAGACAGGUGAGUUAAAAUAAUGUUCUAUAGACAGGUGAGUUAAAAUAAUGUUCUAUGGACAGGUGAGAUAAAGGAAUGUUCUAUGGACAGGUUAGAUAAAACAAUGUUCUAUGGACAGGUGAGAUAAAGGAAUGUUCUAUGGACAGGUAAGAUAAAACAAUGUUCUAUGGACAGGUAGGAUAAAGGUAUGUUCUAUGGACAGGUGAGUUAAAAUAAUGUUCUAUGGACAGGGGGGAUAAAGGAAUGUUCUAUAGACAGGUGAGAUAAAAGAAUGUUCUAUGGACAGGUGAGUUAAAAGAAUGUUCUAUGGACAGGUGAGUUAAAAGAAUGUUCUACGGACAGGUGAGUUUAAAGAAUGUUCUACGGACAGGAGAGUUAAAGGUAUGUUCUAUAGACAGGUGAGAUAAAGGUAUGUUCUAUAGACAGGUGAGAUAAAGGUAUGUUCUAUAGACAGGUGAGAUAAAGGUAUGUUCUAUAGACAGGUGAGAUAAAGGUAUGUUCUAUAGACAGGUGAGAUAAAGGUAUGUACUAUGGACAGGUGAGUUAAAGGAAUGUUCUAUGGACAGGUGAGUUAAAGGUAUGUUCUAUAGACAGGUGAGAUAAAGGUAUGUUCUAUAGACAGGUGAGAUAAAGGUAUGUUCUAUAGACAGGUGAGAUAAAGGAAUGUUCUAUGGACAGGUGAGAUAAAGGUAUGUUCUAUGGACAGGUGAGAUAAAAGAAUGUUCUAUGGACAGGUGAGUUAAAAUAAUGUUCUAUAGACAGGUGAGAUAAAGGAAUGUUCUAUAGACAGGUGAGUUAAAGGAAUGUUCUAUAGACAGGUGAGAUAAAGGUAUGUUCUAUAGACAGGUGAGUUAAAGGUAUGUUCUAUAGACAGGUGAGAUAAAGGUAUGUUCUAUAGACAGGUGAGAUAAAGGUAAAACCCUUUGGACAACAUGAAUCCCAAAAAGCAACACAUUUGAAGUUCUGGAACGGCCGAAUCCAAGUCCAAACCAAAUCCCAACGAGAUGUUUGUGGGAGGAUCUGGGCCAAAAUUCCUCCACAUCGAGGCGAGAUGACAACUACAGGAAGUGUUUGGUUGGAGUCAUGGCAACUAAAGGGAACCAGUUAUUGAGCGGAAGGUGGAAAUCACUUUUCACACGAGGGGCAUAACUACGUUUAUGAAAUAACUGAAAUAAGUGCAAUAAGUGCAAUAAGUGCAAUAAGUGCAAUAAGUGUAAUAAGUGCAAUAAGUGCAAUAAGUGUAAUAAGUGUGCACCUGAUGAUGGUGUGAAGCCGAGGGUCAGUGAACUGCGUUGUUCGGUUGUUGUGAUCCACAAAGUAGAUCCUUCCAGAUACCGUACUCCUCACCUCCCAUCCGGCCGGCAGAGGACCCAACUCCUCACAGCUCACACUGGUCAGGUCCCUGGACCAAUCACAACACACCUCACUGGUCAGGUGCCUGGACCAAUCACAACACAGCUCACACUGGUUCGGUCCCUGGACCAAUCACAACACAC
rnacentral:lncRNA from 1 species